rnacentral:rRNA from 1 species
AUUGAACGCUGGCGGCAUGCCUUACACAUGCAAGUCGAACGGCAGCAUGAUCUAGCUUGCUAGAUUGAUGGCGAGUGGCGAACGGGUGAGUAAUACAUCGGAACGUGCCCUGUAGUGGGGGAUAACUAGUCGAAAGAUUAGCUAAUACCGCAUACGACCUGAGGGUGAAAGUGGGGGACCGCAAGGCCUCAUGCUAUAGGAGCGGCCGAUGUCUGAUUAGCUAGUUGGUGAGGUAAAGGCUCACCAAGGCGACGAUCAGUAGCUGGUCUGAGAGGACGAUCAGCCACACUGGGACUGAGACACGGCCCAGACUCCUACGGGAGGCAGCAGUGGGGAAUUUUGGACAAUGGGCGAAAGCCUGAUCCAGCAAUGCCGCGUGUGUGAAGAAGGCCUUCGGGUUGUAAAGCACUUUUGUCCGGAAAGAAAUGGCUCUGGUUAAUACCUGGGGUCGAUGACGGUACCGGAAGAAUAAGGACCGGCCAACUACGUG